UGGACUUCAGAUUUAACUUCUCAUUUUCUGGUUCCUUCUAAUGAGUAUGCUUAACUUGGUAGAAGGAACCAGAAAAUGAGAAGUUGAGUAGGAACUCUA
ensembl:miRNA MIR3914-1 microRNA 3914-1